GACGAACGCUGGCGGCGUGCUUAACACAUGCAAGUCGAACGGAAAGGCCCUGCUUUUGUGGGGUGCCCGAGUGGCGAACGGGUGAGUAACACGUGAGUAACCUGCCCUUGACGUUGGGAUAACUUCAGGAAACUGGGGCUAAUACCGGAUAGGAGCUCCUGCUGCAUGGUGGGGGUUGGAAAGUUUCGGCGGUUUGGGAUGGACUCGCGGCUUAUCAGCUUGUUGGUGGGGUAGUGGCUUACCAAGGGUUUGACGGGUAGCCGGCAUGGGAGGGUGACCGGCCACAAUGGGACUGAGAUACGGCCCAGACGCCUACGUGAGGCAGCAGUGGGGAAUAUUGCACAAUGGGCGGAAGCCUGAUGCAGCAACGCCGCGUGCGGGAUGACGGCCUUCUGGUUGUAAACCGCUUUCGCCUGUGACGAAGCGUGAGUGACGGUAAUGGGUAAAGAAGCACCGGCUAACUACGUG
rnacentral:rRNA from 1 species